AUUUAUGUAAUCACAACAUCAUCUUGGAAGCUGCACACCUUCUGCAUAUGUGCUAGGGCUUGAAAUGCAACUUGCAUUAUGUUACUUGGGAAUUGUAGUUAUGUUAACUCUCUCACAAUCAUCACAAGCAUGAGCACCAAACACACACAUACUUAACAUGUUCAUAACAGAGUAUUGCACAUGUCACCAGAGGGGGGAGUAGGGUGUAUACCCGUAGUCCCCAAUUUUCAAAUUCAAAAUUGCUUCUCAGCAAGACUAGGGCAAACCAGAGGAAUUACGCUCCACCAGAGCAGAGGGGUCACGCUCAACCAGAACAGAAAGGGUUCCUGACAAUCGUAAGCCGCGAAAGUUGGUUGUGCCAUCCGGGCCCUCCAUGCUCCGCGCAGAGAUAGCACUUAAUCGUAAGCCGCGAAAGUUGGUUGCACCCCCCGGGUUUUCCAUGCUCCGCGCAGAGGUUGCUUUAACCGUAAGCCACGAAAGUUGGUGGCACCCCCCGGGUCCUCCAUGCUCCGUGCAGGGUGUUCCUGUCAAUCGUAAGCCGCGAAAGUUGGUUGCGCCACCCGGGCCCUCCAUGCUCCGCGCAGAGAUAGCACUUAAUCAUAAGCCGCGAAAGUUGGUUGCACCCCCCGGGUUUUGCCAUGCUCCGCGCAGAGGUUGCUUUAACCGUAAGCCACGAAAGUUGGUCACACCCCCCGGG
rnacentral:lncRNA from 1 species